rnacentral:rRNA from 1 species
GACGAACGCUGGCGGCGUGCCUAAUACAUGCAAGUAGAACGCUGAAGGAGGAGCUUGCUCUUCUGGACGAGUUGCGAACGGGUGAGUAACGCGUAGGUAACCUGCCCGGUAGCGGGGGAUAACUAUUGGAAACGAUAGCUAAUACCGCAUAAGAGUAGAUGUUGCAUGACAUUUACUUAAAAGGUGCAAUUGUAUCACUACCAGAUGGACCUGCGUUGUAUUAGUUAGUUGGUGGGGUAACGGCUUACCAAGGCGACGAUACAUCGCCGACCUGAGAGGGGGGUCGGCCACACUGGGACUGGGACACGGCCCAGACUCCCACGGGAAGCAGCAGGAGGGAAUCUUCGGGAAUGGGGGGAAGUCUGACCGGACAACGCCGCGGGAGUGAAGAAGGGUGUCGGGUCGUAAAGAUCGGUUGUAAGGGAAGAACGAGUGUGAGAGUGGAAAGUUCACGCUGUGACGGUAUCUGACCAGAAAGGGACGGCUAACUACGUG